rnacentral:lncRNA from 1 species
ACACACACACACACACACACACACACACACACGCACAUCUACCUCUGAUUAAUAAGGGAAAGAACACGUAGAAUCAACAUUGUGACAUAUAUGGGAUUUCAUGAUGCAGCAGCCUCGUUCUAUCAUCCCGUAGACACUGAGAACAGCAUCUUCCUGUGGCUGUUAAGUUGAUAUCUAGGCAGUGUCCAGUCUUCUUUUUUUAUAUGGGUGCAUCCAUGUCCAUGUGUGGAGAAGUGGAUAUGGAGUUUAGAGGCCAACCUUGGCUGUUUCUCAGGAGCUGCCACUUUGUUUUAUAAGACAAAGUCUCUCAGUGGUCUGGGGCUGCCUGGUAGGCUUGGCUGGGUGGUCAGUAAGCCCCAGGGUUCUUCCUGUCCCUGCUACCUCAAUGCUGGGAUUAUAAAAAUGUGCCGCCACAUUUGUUUUAUUUAUAUGGGCUCUGGGGUUUGAACUUAGGUCCUUCUGAGCUCUCUCCGCCACUCAAUUUUUCAUUUUUAAGGAGACUCCUUUUCAAGUGAGGCCUUCCUUGAUUACCCAAAUAAAAUCAGCCUUAAUCAUAUCCCCAUUCUUCACCUCAAUGCUGCAUUCAAACAAGUUCAGAUUUUGUGGGAGAGACACAUUAAGGUCUGUGUCUAGACAUGACUUCUUGAGAAUUAUGUCAGUUUUGGCUUAAAUCUUUGGAGAAAAUGGCAGUUGAGAGUGGCGUUUUAUUAUUAUGAGCCUCUGUCAAUACGAGUCUCUGUUGAAUAAUUUCCCAUCAGCAUUAGCAUGCUGGCUCGAUGCUCCCUUCCCACUUUGCAUUGCAUUCACGCAGACCCUAUUAUCUGAUCCUACAGAGAUCUUGUUUAUAGUACACAAAACUCCCCUGGAGGGCUUUCCAUUUAAAGGGGAGAGAGGAGAGCAGACCAACAGUACGCCAGUGCAAAGCUAUAGCAACAUGUGGAGCUGAGCAUGGAGCGUGUGUGCACGUGUGCACGCGUGUGCGUGCGCAUGUGUAUGUGAGAGAGAGAGAGAGAGAGAGAGAGAGUGUGGUGUCUGUGAAUGUGUGAGUGAGUGUGUGUGUGUGUGUGUGUGUGUGUGUGUGUGUGGUGUCUGUGAAUGUGUGUGUGUGUCUGUGUGUGUGAGUGUGGUGUCUGUGAAUGUGUGUGAGAGUGUGUGUCUCUGUGAGUGUGUGUGUGUGUCUGUGAGUGUAUACGUGUGAUUGUGAGUGUGUGUGUCAUGUGCUGUUUGUCUGCUUGCCAGCCUCAGUUCAGAACCAGCAGCAAGGCAAAGCCAAGAGCAGCAAACUGCCUUCUGAGAACACCAGAGAAACAACAGCCUUUGCCCGACCAUCUAUUUUCUGCCCGUUUUUUUUUUUUUUUCUACACUGAAGGCUUAGGCAGAGAACUGACAACAUUUUCAAUUCGAAGCUUAUUCAACAUUUUUGUGUUGCCACAAUUAGGUAUCUCAGAAGCAUGUGCUGCCUUCCAUUCAAACCCCAGCGUCCGCUCUGACAGGUCACAGACUAAAAAACCAGGAUAAUGACAUUCUAUCUUGAUCGCAGGAUCCAGACGCACCAGUCUGGUGUAGAUCAAAAAAGAAAACAACAACUCAAGUGCUGAUUUAAUUUCCUUUGCCUCAGAUAUUGAGUUCAUAUUGAAAUGGCAUACCCAGCGUGAGUUUUGUUAAGAAUAUAGCUUCUUAGCAGUCUGUGAAAUCUACAAAAGUUUAAAGAAAUGUAAAGUCCUAAUGCAUGAUGAUUCAUAUUCAUUUGUUUUGCUAAUGGUUUAUAUACCUGUGUGGAUACUUUCAUUAAACAGGAUAGGUAAGGAGAUCUGAAUGAUUUAGAAUUUUAAAUGGUUUGUAUGUAUCCAGAACAUUGAGGAGAGAAUGAUGUAAAAUUUAAAAACUGAAUGUAUGGGUGCAUACAGAUGCCUGUGGGGCCAGAAGAGGGCAUCAGAUCCCCUGGAUCUGGAAUUAGGCAGUUGGGAGUGGCCCAAUAUGGGUGCUUGGAACUCUUCAGAAGUACGGCCCUUGUCAGGAGAACUAUACCACCUUAAGCACUGAGCCAUCUCUCCAGCCCUGGAUAUACUUUGGUUGGAAGACAGGCUCCAUUUGCUUGAGCAUCUCUUUAAUCUUACCAAUUCCAUCCCUGUUACCAUUUGAAGUUGUCAAUUACCCAGUCUUAACAGUUAUAUUGUAGAUACAGUGAGCCCACUUGGACUUUCCCUCUGGGGUUGAAAGAGUUACUCUCUUCUCAAAUGCAGAGACACACUUUCUUACCUUUGCCAACUCCAUCUCUUCUCAAGCACAGAGGCACACUUUCUUACCUUUGCCAACACUUGCCUCACAUUCAACUACUCUUCUGUAGACAGAGAAGUUUGGAAGAUGUGUCUAGAAUGUUUUCUUUUCAUCAGUCACCAGCUCACAAAUAACCACAAGAAGAUUUCUUAUGAAUUAUAAAAGCUUGGCCAUUAGCUUAGGCUGGUGCCACCAGCUCUUAUGACUUAAAUUAACCCAUUUACAUAAAUCUACCUCCUGCCAUACGGCAUUAUCUCUUUUCCAUCUUGCACUUCCUGCUUCCCCUCCAUGUCUGGCUAGCAACUCCACUUUUCUUCUUCUUCCCAGAAGCCUCUCUGUCCCCAGAAGCCCCACCUAACCUCUUCCGGCCUAGCCAUUCAGCUCUUUAUCAAGCCAGUCACAGUGACACAUCUUCACACAGUGUAAAGAAAUAUUCUGCAACAAAUGUGUCAAUCAUGGGGCCACUCCCAUUAUUUCAGUCAGCUUCUCUGCUUUGAAGUCUUGUCUCUUCUCUGGAUUAGGCACAUUACACUGGUAAAUAACCAUAUGCUGUUUGAGCUCGUUGAAAGUGGAUUUGAGGAGUAAAGAGGCCCUCCCUUGCCUCUGCCUAAAGGCAGGCUGUCCCCCUAACUUGGUAAUAAGAAGAAGGGAAAACAGCAAACCCCUAAGAGUAUUAAAAUUAUGUGGCCCUGAGAACAAUUAGAAGGUGAACGAUUUCCAAUCUAGAUGAUGAUUUUUAUUCCAUAAUGUAAGAAUUCGUGUGGUGGAGUGGAAACCGGGAAUUUCAGCCGGGGACUCUCAUUCAUGGAAAUAAAUCUCAACUGGGAACCUUAGCUGAUGGACUAGACUACUCUGGUUGGUUUCUGCUGCAUGUCGUGAGGGCCUGAUUUGAUGAUGUCAUCUAUCUAUUGCCCUUUGUUCUUUCCCUUGAAAGCAUCACUGGGGGUGAAGGGGGAAGGUGGCAGUAGGCACUCUAUUGAUGCCUCAGUGAAGCUUCCCCAGGGGAUUUCUGCUGGACAUUUGUACCCCUGUCCUGGUUAGAUGGUACCUUUGCCUGCUCACUCAGUUGGGCCACUCCAGUCACCUCUGCUGCAUGUGUGAGCACCUGGUUUGAGAUGUUCUCUGUCUCGUGGUUUCUAUCUGCUACUCACUCUUUACCCACCCUGUAACCUGAUCUGACUAUAUGAUUACUUAAUGAAUGCAAUCAUCCAAAACAGAAAGCACACAACUCUAGAUUAUUCUCCAGAACAUAUGGAACAUAAUUGGCACAGUCUGUAGGAUCUAUUAGAUUCCAUUCCUAAAUAAACCAAUCUAAUAAAUCCUCUUUAACAAUUCAUAAUCAUUAUGCCAGUUCUUUUCCUUCAGAGAGCUCUGAGCAAUAACAGACACUCUCUUCUUAUUCUCAAACAAAGUGAACAUGGUGACUUACAGGACCAAAGGAACUUGCAGAGGUGGGUAGUAAGGAGUCUGAGAUCUUGGACCAUCCAUGUGUGUACAGUGUCAUUUCUGGAGUCCUUAUCCAAGGGAAACAAGGGGGUCAGAGAAAGACAAGGAGGAGGCGUGAUGAAGGUGGAGAUGAGAAUGAUUAAAGAACAUGAGAAGCUUCUAAAAGCUGAAGAGACAAAGGAAAAAAUUCUUCCCUAUACCCUCCAGAAAGAAGACAGCCCCACUGAACCAUAUCAGGUUCCAACUCCCAGCAUUAUAAAAUCAUUAAUGCGUGUUGUUCAAGGCACAACAAUCUUAUAUCAUCAUCAAGAAACUGGAUACACCCCACUUUCUCAUUUUAGUCUUGCAGAAAGAACAUGGCUAAUCAGUAACCCCUCCUUGAUUUAUUUCUCUUCAUUCUUCCAGAAAGACUCUUCAAUCGGAUUAGAGUGUUGCCUUGGGGUUACUAUUGCUCUAAUGAAACACCAUGACUAAGUCCAAGUUGGGGAGGGAAGGGCUUAUUUGGCUUACACUUCCACAUCACUGUCCAUUACUGAAGGAAGUCAGGACAGGAACUCAAGCAGGACAGGAAUCUGGAGGCAGGGGCUGAUGCAGAGGCCAUGAAGGGAGGCUGCUUACUGGCUUGCUCCUCAGGAUUUGCUCAUCCUGCUUUCUUACACAGCUCAGGACCACAAGCAAAGGGAUGGCACUACCCACCAUGGGCUGGGCCCUCUCCCAUCAAUAUUAAUUAAGAAAAUGCCUUACAGCCAGAUCCUAUGGAGAUAUUUUCUUAAUUGGGGUUCCCUCCUCUCAGAUGACUCUAGCUUGUGUCAAGUUGACAUAAAACUGUCCAGCACAAGUGCCAGUCAGCUUCCUAAAACUGUAUUUACAGUUUUUUGUCAUAUGCAUUUUUUUCUGGGAAAUGAUCCACUGAAAGUGAUCUAUGUUUCAGCAUUGGAAAUGUCAGUCUUGCCUGGGCACUCUCAACUUCCUGCAUUAUCCCAAGAAGAGUGUGAUGGAGAUAAAAGAAGAAAAGGGUGAGAAAGAGCAUUGUCACUGUCCUUUGUUGGUGGUCCUUCCUCCAGGCAAACGAGGAGGCUGGGUGAGGUUUCCUACAAAAUGGCAUGCCUCUAUUCCCUUUAGGCACUGUUCUUUCUUACUUAGGCCAAAACCAGUCCAUAGUUGCCAAUAAGUUUGCUGAGAGGCAUUUUGUUGUACUCUCUGCUGUACUGGACAUGGUGGCAUUGAGACUGGCAGUGUACACAGGUGGUGUCCCUGAGGACCUGGCUUCCCUCCGUUCUUGUCCAUGACCACAGAUUAUGUCUUGACCACUACAUAGAGUUUAAGGGCAUCUCUGUGAGUUGGAACUUCUUUUCGCGCCUGUAAGGAUGUGGGCAGAAGAGGGAGUGUUUCCUGUCUGAUUCUCACAGGAGCUGUUAGCAGUAUCCUCACAUGAGCAAAGAGGGAAAGGUUAUUCAGAGUGAACCAUGGGCACAGAACUGUGUGGAGACUGUUGUUGCUGUCAGUGUGUGUGUGCACAUAUGCAUGCAUGUGUGCAUACGUGUGUGUGUGUGUGUGUGUGUGUUUGCUAGUAAAGGCCACAAGACAGAAGAUCCUCAGGAACUAGAGUUCCAGGCAUUUGUGAGCAUGGAGCUAGGACCUGAAUUCAGGGCCUCUGAAAGAACAGUGCAUGCUAAGCCAUCUCUCCAGCCCCUGGCUGGCUUCCGUCUGAAACAGUGUCAACAGCAACCCAGCUGUAGCUUGCUUUCAAGAAAGCUGUAAGUGUAAAAGAAACUGAAUGUAUUUUGUUUGCUGAACAAACUCGAAAAGAAACCAUAACAAUGACUUGAAAGUACAUAUAAAGACAACACAGUUGCCAAGGACUCUUCUCUCAGCUCUGUGUCAUGCCUUUGUGUCGUAUUUUAGAUAUUCAGAACUGAUAGCCCAUACCCUCCCUGUCCUCUGACAGAUUGGGGGACUAUAAUGAGAGCCGAUCCACAGUCUGUAAGGUUAAGAUAUCUUUAUUCAGAUAAACACCAACCAAAUGCAAGCCAGAGCGUGCCAGGGACAGCAAGGCAGGCAGGCAGAGAGAAGGGCCCCCAUGUGCCUUGCAGCCCCUUAAAAACCUAUCAUGAGUCAUCCUGACCUCACCUUGACCACGCCUUCACAGGCGUGGUCAGGCACACCUGUAGCCAGCCCUUAGGAGGCAUUGUUACGGUGUCUCCCUACAGGGGACUAUGGAAAUGGCAGAUCCAGACACAAAAUCCAACUGUUCGGAAUCUGAGUUCAGCCAUACCCUUUACUUCCAGCACCUACAAGGUCUCUUUCCCCAGCAAAGAGAUUUCAAGCAGCAGGCAUGCUGCCUGGCAUUAAUAUCUUAUUUGCUUUCAUGGGGAUGAGACAGUCCCUGCAUUAUCUUUUCCAUCUAUGAAUCGUUUACUCAAUACAAUCUCUGUAUAGAUGAGUCAUAAUUGACAGUGUUGAAAUACUCAAGUCAUCUAGGUAAGUGCUCAAUUGAAGCAAACUACUUUUUUCUUUGCCUGCUAAUGCCUCAGGAUAAAAGGGCAAUGUUUUCUAAAGCAGUUUUGCUUUUAGGUAUUAAUCUAAACAUUAGAACCAUGUGUCUUGUAUGUUUAUACAUCUCAAAUUGUAUAUAUGUACAAUUAUUUACACAAUUAUAUCUAUAAUUACAUAAUUAAUAUGUGGUUAUAUGUACUUGUACAAUAUCAAUUGUGUAUCUACCCAAACACAUUAUAUGUAAUGUAUGCACAAUUAUACACGGAGGGAGAAUGAAAUGAUAAAGUUCCCUAGAGCUCCAUGGAACACGAAUAAGCAUAUGGACUGUUCCCUUACACCUACUCCACAAGUUUGAGUAUUGAAGAUUUAUAUAGUUAGAGACUAUGUGGUGUAAAUAUGUAUAAAUUUAUAUUGUGCUAAUUUAUGGCAUGUGGUACAGAAGGCUGCUUGCAAGUUGCAGCGUAUUUCUUCCCACGUUUCUGCUGAAAUAUUCAUCUCUGGGUCCCUUCCUCAUGCUUGCCUUUGUCUCCCCGCAGAUGUUUGGAGCAGCUUGUUUUCAGAGGAGUGGAAGUAUGCUUCCUGAAUGCGAUUCAGGUAAAGAAUGCACUAUCUCAGCUAGGAGGCAACUGAAAGGGACCCCCUCACCUCCAGGUCUACCAGUUUCUCUUUGGAAGACAAUUGCUUCCAUGUAACAACAUUCUUUGUAUCUGCUAUCCCCUGUCCUACAUGCAUGACAGCAUCUUGUAAUCUAUGUGUUAGAACUCCAGUGGAGAGGGGAAACCUCAGAUUGUACACACACAUACUCCCUCACACAUACUCACCUGCACACACACACACACACACACACACACACACACACACACACACACACCUGCACACACCCUGACAUACACACAUUUCUACACGCACACACAUAUACAUAUAUAUGUUGUUUUUUAAAUAAACAUACCCUGGUGUGCAGUUUCAUUUGUAUAUUAGACACAGAAAGAGACUAAAAAUGAUAACCAAAAAAUAUAGCAAUAAUUACAGCACACCAUGACACAAAUUAUUAAAACCAAUGAAGUGUUAAUUCCUGAAAUGUUCCAUUUAAUAUUUUUUGACCAGAGGUAACCUAAACCACAGAAAUAGGCAAGACAGGAGUAAAAAAAGAAGUGUAUACAUAAAAUCUGCUUUAUGGGCCAAUACAUACACACACACACACACACACACACACACACACACACACACACACACACACAGAGAGAGAGAGAGAGAGAGAGAGAGAGAGAGAGAGAGAGAGAGAGAGAGAGAGAGACUGACUUACUUUAGAAGCACUCUGUCUAGUCCACCCCUAGUUAUUUGUGGCUGUACCAAAGGGGGAAAAAAUGGCUGGAGAUUCACAGAGGGCUCACGGACUGCAUUCCACUUAGCCCACUCUUGCAUCCCUGUAGGUUGCUGAAUGUCAUCCAGUUGACCUGCUUGAGUUAAUCAAUGUGUGUUUUCCUGGUCCCUCCACCUUGAGGCGUGUUCGUGGGAAGUGGAAUGACUGAGAAGGAGGCAGUGGGCAGGAAGAGGAAGAAGACCGGAGCCCCAAAUUGAUUAAACAGACCCCAGAUGAUCACCAGCUCACAGGGGACGGCGAGAGGUUUUAACCACCCACAGCUCUCCGUAGCCCAGAGAGUCCCUUCACAGGUCAGAUCCCUCUCUUGGCCAUCUAUUUUUAGAUUGCUCACUUUUCAUCUCCUGUUAGAACUGUGCUGCUAGAGCAGUUUCAGAAGAGACAUACUUGUGGUAGUAAUGGAAGCAUCUAUCGAUCGUACCAAGAUUGGAGAAUCAGAUCUACUUUGCAGGUCUUUUAAGUACCACUCAUUCACUAGCCCUCUCCCAGUGUUCCACCGCGGCAAGCUAACAUUUGCACACAUCUUCAACAUUUUGGAACCUUUUUAAAAAUGCAUGUUACCACACGAGCAUUUCUCAAUUGCCCUGUCAGCUUUAAGGUUUUUGCAGUGGAAGAAAAAUUGUUAAGUGUUUAUGAGGGAAGGUCUUAGAGUCAUUUAGCUGCUAAAUGUCACAGACCUAACACAACCAUAGCCUGCCUUUCCAAGAGGGAUUAGGAUGUCCUCUUGGACACCCUGGGUUGAGUAAAGCAAACAAACACAAAGAGUCCUGCAUCUGGAAUAAUUGCUGACAUGCAAGGUUUGCUAAUCUUUCUGGUGCUCCUGUCUGAUCUCCUCAGUGCCAGGAGCUGUUCCGGGUGCUUGCCUUCCAUGCUCACCACAGUCAGUGAGACCACACUCAGCUAGAAAAGAGUGUCCACGCUGAGGGGAAAUCAACAGAAAAAUGUGUCUGUAUAGAUUGUAGGGCCCUGGUAGAGGGUGAACUUUAGGAAGUUGGGGGGCCAUAUGAAUCCUGUGGCAGGUAAAGGGGUGCUGCUGAGAGUUUCCGGCAUGAAGGCACGACUUCCUUCCUGGGCCAUCUCUCACCUUCCCUAUAAUCUCUCGAGGGAGGUGAAAUGUUGGGACUACUCCAUUGCUAUUUUUCAAGUUUGGGGAAGGUGUGAUUUUGCUAGAAUGGAUAUUGUCAAUGACAAAACUGAGUCCCUGAGCCAAAUGGCUUCGAUGGUUAGUGUUGAUUUCCAACUUGGCAGGAUCUGAAAUCACCCUGGAGACAGGUUUCCAGGCACACUUGUGAGGGAUGAUUUAGAUCCAUAUAGUCCCUGGGCAGGCCUAUGAGGGACUUCCUUGGUUAAGCUAACGGAGAUGAGAAGAGCCAUCCUCUAAUUGUACUUGUGUUCUGGACAGCAUUCCAAAGAGAAGGAAGGAAGCCUCCCAAGGGGAUUCACCACCCUGGUCCCCGUCUGUAGAUGCAGCACAACCAACUGUCUCAUGUUCCUACCAGCAGCGUUUCUCCACCCUGAUGGACUUUGAACUGUGAACCAAAUAAAGCCCUUUCUCCCAUAAACUACUUUUGUCAGGAUAUUUUAUCACAGUGAUGGGAAAAGAAACUAGUUCAGUGGUGUUUGCAGAAAUUUGAUAAGGAAAUGGCUUGAAGAAUCUUGAAUGCAUUCAAAGGGGGGAAUCCUUUAGCAUCGACCGAAGAAACCCAUGCAGUGGAUUUUAAAGUUAGACAACUGAAAAU